AUUGAACGCUGGCGGCAGGCCUAACACAUGCAAGUCGAACGAGUGGCGGACGGGUGAGUAAUGUCUCGGAAACUGCCCAGUGGAGGGGGAUAACUACUGGAAACGGUAGCUAAUACCGCAUACCAUCGGCUCGGCCGAGAUGGGAUUAGCUAGUAGGUGGGGUAACGGCUCACCAAGGCAACGAUCCGUAGCUGGUCUGAGAGGAGGACCAGCCACACUGGAACUGAGACACGGUCCAGACUCCUACGGGAGGCAGCAGUGGGGAAUAUUGGACAAUGGGGGCAACCCUGAUCCAGCCAUGCCGCGUGUAUGAUGAAGGCCUUCGGGUUGUAAAGUACUUUCGGCAGGGAGGCGUUAUCCGCAGAAUAAGCACCGGCUAACUCCGUGCCAGCAGCCGCGGUAAUUC
rnacentral:rRNA from 1 species